rnacentral:lncRNA from 1 species
GUAGUGUGUUAAGAAUGAAGUCUCGUCGUGGAUAAUCGGAUAUAAUGUGUUUUCUAAAAGGUUUGCAAAACACUGAAUUUCUCAUGGCACGAUUUACGAAAGUUUAGUAAUAUGACGAAAACACUUAUAUAUAGGACGUACCAGCGGCGUAUCCACCAUGUUUUAACCAUGUUACGUUCGUUUCGUCAUUCGGUGCAAUGUUACGUUCCGUGUCUUACCAUACAUAGUAGUACACUCUAUGGUUCUCAUGCGCUUAUCACUAUAAUCCUGUGUGCACCCGCGAUUAUACCGAUCGUCGCAUGACCCGCAUAGCUUGUACUAGUUGUAUAUGAAUUAAGGUAUACAUAAGUUUUGAAAAUAAGAUUGCGUGUGUAUAGGAAUGUAGCAUAUAAGCAUGUUUGUGUUCCAAAUAGUAUAAGACCAAUGUAAGCGAAUCCAUCGGGUCUCGCUCGCGUACAGGUGUGAAUGUAUAAAUUUUGAGUAUGAAUAAAAGCAUGAGCAUAGUAUAAGUUUAAAUAUGAAUACGCAUGUGAGCAUAACACAAACGCAUGAAUAAGAGUAUGAU